ACCCUCACCAUUCAAGAUAAAGAUUACAUAUUUCUCAAGUGUGUUUAGAGUACUGUCACAGAUGACAAGGAAAAACCCUUUGGACUUGGCCAACUAGCUGAGACGAUCAACAAAGGGAAGAGAAAACAAUGUUAUUCAACCGCUUCUUGACCGUAAAUCUUAGAGUUGCAAGAAGAACUUGAAGCUGUCGUGUUAAGCUCGCUAAAGUUGAUGAAGAAAAUGCUAGGCGUGAUGAGGAGCAUCGCAACACUCAAAGUCGUAUAACAAGCUUGGAGAUGGUAGUCACCUACUAAAACAACACUUCUCCUGGAUUUGUAGACUUUAUGGCUAAUGCAACAACACCACCUCACUAAAAACAAGCCAUAGCAGCGAACACAACUGUUGACGGACCAGCAGAUGGACAAGCCACUUCACCAUUGUCCAACACUUCUUCAACCUUUAUGUUGCCUUAGAAUACUAUCAUAACUUGUUUGUGAAUCAUAUUAUGGUUUUCUUUAAGGAUUUUUUUAUGGAUGUUUGCAGGUUUUUUGUAAGGAUGUUUGCAGGUUUUUUGGGUAUAAUCCUAAUCGAAAUCUGUUUUAGUAUUAAA